GGGGGUCUAGCUCAGUGGUAGGGCAUGUGCUUGGCACGCACAAGGUCCUGGGUUCAAUCCUCAGUGCCUCUG
rnacentral:tRNA from 1 species